rnacentral:lncRNA from 1 species
AAGGCUUGUAAAGACCUAUAUUCUAUGUGCGCCUCGUUCCCAUUCUGCGCGUGUAGGUUUGUUUAUGUCUCUGACCCUGACCUGAUCAUACAUAGUACACAGAACGCAUCCACACAUGUUCCAUAUGUAAUUGGCACUUGUCGACAAGGACAUGGUGUAGAAAAAUCAUUCCGACCGCUUGCAUCUCAAUCAUCGUUUUUGCCAAGUCAGACCGUUCUUAUCGCCCAGUUCAUGCCUUGUAAUCUUAUACAUUUAUAUGACCUUCCUUCUCUCCGUGUAUCAGUACUAUGUGAUACUGCUGCUUUGCUGAUGCUUGAAGAUAAACCAAGUCUUUAUGUCACUUGUAGUUGCAAGCGAGGUAGCUUUGAUUGGCUGCGAUGGAGGAAAAGCUAGCGCGGUGUUGAC